rnacentral:rRNA from 1 species
CAGCCGCCGCGGUAAAACGGAGGGGGCUAGCGUUGUUCGGAAUUACUGGGCGUAAAGCGCACGUAGGCGGCUUGGUAAGUUAGAGGUGAAAGCCCGGAGCUCAACUCCGGAAUUGCCUUUAAGACUGCCGAGCUAGUAGGUGAGAGAGGUAAGUGGAAUUCCGAGUGUAGAGGUGAAAUUCGUAGAUAUUCGGAAGAACACCAGUGGCGAAGGCGGCUUACUGGCUCAUUCUAGACGCUGAAGUGCGAAAGCGUGGGGAGCAAACAGGACUAGAUACCCCCGUAGUCCCUGUCUCUUAUAC